rnacentral:pre_miRNA from 14 species
AGGUCCCUCAAACGACUGAGCUUCCACGUCAAGCCUCAGCUAUCGAAUGAAAAAUUGCUGGCAAGAUGUAGGCAGUUCAGUUGUAUGCGGAGACCA